GAUAGUUAUUGCGAGGCGAUACAAACGAUAUGAAAAGAUUAGUAUGCCCCCAGUCCUAUGUGAUUACAAUUAAAUUUUUUGGUUUGUAGGGUUUCAAAGCGAUACGAUGCGUAUAAAAAACCUCUAACAAUGCUUAUCUGUGGUUUAGUUUAAAUGAUUGGUUGGUAGGACACCAGUAUAAUAUAUUCAAAACUUUCUUUGUGGGUUAACUAAAAUGUCAUAUACGAGUA
rnacentral:sRNA from 1 species